GUGGGGAAUUUUGGACAAUGGGCGCAAGCCUGAUCCAGCAAUGCCGCGUGCAGGAAGAAGGCCUUCGGGUUGUAAACUGCUUUUGUACGGAACGAAACGGUCCGGGUUAAUACCCUGGGCUAAUGACGGUACCGUAAGAAUAAGCACCGGCUAACUACGUGCCAGCAGCCGCGGUAAUACGUAGGGUGCAAGCGUUAAUCGGAAUUACUGGGCGUAAAGCGUUCGCAGGCGGUUUUGUAAGACAGGCGUGAAAUCCCCGGGCUCAACCUGGGAAUUGCGCUUGUGACUGCAAGGCUGGAGUGCGGCAGAGGGGGAUGGAAUUCCGCGUGUAGCAGUGAAAUGCGUAGAUAUGCGGAGGAACACCGAUGGCGAAGGCAAUCCCCUGGGCCUGCACUGACGCUCAUGCACGAAAGCGUGGGGAGCAAACAGGAUUAGAAACCCGUGUAGUCC
rnacentral:rRNA from 1 species